AGCACUUCAUUCUUUUGUUUUUGUCUAACAUGGACAGAAGCUUCGAAUUCAGUGCUAAUAAUAAAAUGACUUUUUUGCAACCCACAACUGAUAACAAUAUGAGUUGUGCUACUUGUAAGUGUGGACAGU
rnacentral:snoRNA from 1 species